rnacentral:tRNA from 1 species
GCCAGUGUGGCUCAGUAGUUGGAGCGUCAGCCUGUGCACUGAAGGGUCUCAGGUUUGAUUCCUGGUCAAGGGCA